rnacentral:rRNA from 1 species
CUAGCUGUAAACGAUGGAUACUAGGCGUUGAGAGUAUCGACCCUCUCAGUGUCGUAGCUAACGCGCUAAGUAUCCCGCCUGGGGAGUACGCGCGCAAGCGUGAAACUCAAAGGAAUUGACGGGGGCCCGCACAAGCGGUGGAGUAUGUGGUUUAAUUCGAUGCAACGCGAAGAACCUUACCAGGGCUUGACAUGUCCGGAACCCUGCCCAAAGGCGGGGGUGCCUACGGGAACCGGAACACAGGUGGUGC